rnacentral:rRNA from 1 species
CUCGUAGGCGGCCAACUAAGUCAUACGUGAAAUCCCUCGGCUUAACCGGGGAACUGCGUCUGAUACUGGAUGGCUUGAGUUCGGGAGAGGGAUGCGGAAUUCCAGGUGUAGCGGUGAAAUGCGUAGAUAUCUGGAGGAACACCGGUGGCGAAGGCGGCAUCCUGGACCGAUACUGACGCUGAGGAGCGAAAGCCAGGGAGCAAACG